rnacentral:misc_RNA from 1 species
ACGUAUCUCUGACGGGGGUGUGGCUCGCCCUGCUCCGGCCCCGACGGGUCGUGCAGCGGGCGGCCGCCCCUCGCUCAAACCUCACAAACCCACUGUGAACCUUCACGGCGGAAGGGGCCUGGCUAGCGCCGCGUCCCCGAAGCCGCAUACCAAACUCCAGUUGCAAAGAAUGUACUGCGGACCUUGUGCCGCCUAAACACUUAA